CUACGAGUUUGAUCAUGGCUCAGAUUGAACGCUGGCGGCAUGCCUUACACAUGCAAGUCGAACGGUAGAGUAGCAAUACUUGAGAGUGGCGAACGGGUGAGUAAUAUAUCGGAACGUGCCCAGUCGUGGGGGAUAACGUAGAGAAAUUUACGCUAAUACCGCAUACGAUCUAAGGAUGAAAGCGGGGGAUUCGCAAGAACCUCGCGCGAUUGGAGCGGCUGAUAUCAGAUUAGGUUGUUGGUGAGGUAAAAGCUCACCAAGCCGACGAUCUGUAGCUGGUUUGAGAGAACGACCAGCCACACUGGGACUGAGACACGGCCCAGACUCCUACGGGAGGCAGCAGUGGGGGAAUUUUGGACAAUGGGCGAAAGCCUGAUCCAGCAAUGCCGCGUGCAGGAAGAAGGCCUUCGGGUUGUAAACUGCUUUUGUACGGAACGAAAAGGCUCUUUCUAAUAAAGAGGGCCCAUGACGGUACCGUAAGAAUAAGCACCGGCUAACUACGUG
rnacentral:rRNA from 1 species